rnacentral:rRNA from 1 species
GACGAACGCUGGCGGCGUGCUUAACACAUGCAAGUCGAACGGAAAGGCCCUGCUUUUGUGGGGUGCUCGAGUGGCGAACGGGUGAGUAACACGUGAGUAACCUGCCCUUGACUUUGGGAUAACUUCAGGAAACUGGGGCUAAUACCGGAUAGGAGCUCCUGCUGCAUGGUGGGGGUUGGAAAGUUUCGGCGGUUGGGGAUGGACUCGCGGCUUAUCAGCUUGUUGGUGGGGUAGUGGCUUACCAAGGCUUUGACGGGUAGCCGGCCUGAGAGGGUGACCGGCCACAUUGGGACUGAGAUACGGCCCAGACUCCUACGGGAGGCAGCAGUGGGGAAUAUUGCACAAUGGGCGGAAGCCUGAUGCAGCAAAGCCGCGUGCGGGAUGACGGCCUUCGGGUUGUAAACCGCUUUCGCCUGUGACGAAGCGCGAGUGACGGUAAUGGGUAAAGAAGCACCGGCUAACUACGUG